GCAUAGUACUGAUUGCAGUAGGAGUCGGUGGGCCUCGAGUAGGUGGGCCUCCGUAGGGAGCCAGCGUGGAUCGAGUGCGGGGCCUGGACUUCCCGCCCCCUCCGCACUGCAGACUCUGCGGUGAUUUAAAGGUGCCUGGCGGUGGUACGGGAUCCAACUGUAAAAUGUCAUCCCAGCUAGUGUGACAUCACCACAGUUUAGUGUGACACCCCCAGAGCUUGGGCAGUGUACGGGACGACAGUGCCUAGCAGAGGAGCUUCACUGCCGAAACUUCCUUCUACUACUUAAAGUCCUCACAUUGGGCUGACCUGGGAAACAUGAAGAUAAAAAGAGUGGGUAAACAUGCCUGCUUGAUGAGCCAGAAAAAAAGGCAGAAACCUGUGGUCUGGGUAGAACAGAUCCUGCUCAGAAUGGACCUUACAGUCUAAUGAGGAAAAAACGUGUGCAGACAUAUAUAAGAUAAGUGAGAGAGUCGGAGAAGAACAUCAGAAGUGAUAUUUGAGCAUAGUAAGGUCAAAGAAGUUUCAAAGUUUAGUCAUUUGUCCAUUCAGUAACUAUUUAUAGAGCAUCUUCUGUGUGCUAGGCACUAUAUAAGAAAUUAAGGGGCUGGGUGUGGUGGCUCAUGCCUGUAAUCCCAGCACUUCGGGAGGCUGAGGCAGGUGAAUCACCUGAGGUCAGGAGUUCGAGACCAGCCUGGCCAACAUGGUGAAACCCCGUCUCUACUAAAAAUACAAACAUUAGCCAAGUGUAGUGGCGCAUGCCUGUAAUCCCAGCUACCCUGGAGGCUUAAGCAGAAGAACCGCUGGAACCCAGGAGAAGAAGGCUACCAUGAGCCGAGAUUGCACCAUUGCACUCCAGCCUGGGCGACAGUGAGACUCUGUCUCAAAAAAAAAAAAAAGAAAGAAAGAAAGAAAUAAAAAAAAAAGAAAUUAAGGAUACACAGAAGAAAAGGCAUGGUCUGUGCCCUGAAGGAGCUUACAGUUAAGCAGAGAAGUUGCACGAUUUGGAAGUAGUAAGGUAAAUUGAGUCAGAUUUUGAAAGGCAAUGUAGAGCUGUUAGAAGUUUAUUCGCACAGGUAGCCAGGCACAGUGGCUCAUGCCUGUAAUCCCAGCACUUUGGGAAGCCAAGGUGGCAGAUCACUGGAGGUCAGGAGUUCAAGACCAGCCUGGCCAACACAGUGAAACCCCAUCUCUACUACAAAUACAAAAAUUAGCCAGAUAUGGUGGCAUAUGCUUGUAAUCCCAGCUACUCGGGAGGCUGAGGCAGGAGAAUCGCUUGAAUCCGGGAGGCAGAGGUUGCAGUGAGCCGAGAUCGUGCCACUGCAGUCUAGGCUGGGCAAACAGAGCCAGACUCUGUCUCAAAAAAGAAGUUUAUUCAGACAGGAAAGAAGGCGAGAAGGGGCAGAUAUGUGAAAUACAUCCUCCUAAACCAAGUCAGAGCAACUGGAGAGGGAGGUGGAGCAGUUAGCAAUCGGAAGCAUUCAAGUUUCAUUCAGGGUAUAAACCAGGAAAAGUUGUUCUGGCCCCUCAUCUGGUUUCAUGAAGGACAAUAUCUAGCAUGAGAGUGACAGGGGUUAGAAUAAUGGACAUUUUGGGGACUGGGUCCUAGCAGAAAUGAUGGAAUAAUGGAACAGGAGUUUGGAUGAAUGGGCAUAUUAUGGGAUUAAAGAAGAUUUGAAUACAAGCUUUCCUAAUAAAUGAAAGGGGAGGUGAAACUAGAGCAUGCUGAUGGCUGCACAGCAUUGUGAAUGCACUAAAUGCACUAACUGUCCACUUUAAAAUGUUUAGUAAUAUGUCGAUUUUACCUAAAUAAAAAAAAGGAAGCAACAU
rnacentral:lncRNA from 1 species